GACGAACGCUGGCGGCGUGCUUAACACAUGCAAGUCGAACGGCAACGCACUGAUUUUGUGGUGUGCCCGAGUGCCGAACGGGUGCGUAACACGUGAGUAACCUGCUCUACACUUUGGGAUAACUUCAGGAAACUGGGGUUACUCCCGGAUAGGAUCUCCUCCUGCAUGGUGGGGGUUGGAACGUUUCGGCCGUUGGGGAUGGACUCGCGGCUUAUCAGCUAGUUGGUGGGGUAGUGGCUUACCCAGGCUUUGACGGGUAGCCGGCCUGUGAGGGUGACCGGCCACAUUGGGACUGAGGGACGGCCCAGAGGCCUACGGGAGACAGCAGUGGGGAAUAUUGCACAAUGGGCGGAAGCCGGAUGCAGCAACGCCGCGUUCGGGAUGACGUCCUGCGGGUAGUAAACCGCUUUCGCCUAUGACGAAGCGGGAGUGACGGUAAUGAGUAAAGAAGCACCGGCUAACUACGUG
rnacentral:rRNA from 1 species